GUGCUUGCUUCAACAGCAUAAAUACUAAAACUGGAAUGAAACAGAGAAGAUUAACAUGGCCUCUGAGAAAAGUUUACAUGCAAAUUCAUGAAAUGUUCUGCCUUUUA
rnacentral:snRNA from 1 species